rnacentral:rRNA from 1 species
UACGUAGGGUGCGAGCGUUAAUCGGAAUUACUGGGCGUAAAGCGUGCGCAGGCGGUUUCGUAAGACAGAGGUGAAAUCCCCGGGCUCAACCUGGGAACUGCCUUUGUGACUGCGAGGCUAGAGUAUGGCAGAGGGGGGUGGAAUUCCACGUGUAGCAGUGAAAUGCGUAGAGAUGUGGAGGAACACCGAUGGCGAAGGCAGCCCCCUGGGCCAAUACUGACGCUCAUGCACGAAAGCGUGGGGAGCGAACAGG